UUGUUCCAGGUUCGCCUCCAGCCUCUUUUCUAAAUAUGUACAAUCUCCUAUUGACUAGUUAAUAAAACUAGAAUUUUUUUCAUCUAAGAGAAGAAUUAGUUCAUCGCAGAAAUUUAGUUAUUUCAUCACAUAAAUUUUAUCAUUUUUUUUCAAUUUUACUUCAUUCACUUAUAACUUUUAGUAUUGUUUGGGAAAGUUGUUCAUUUUAAUUUUUAUCUAAUGGAUUUCUAUGGAAACUGAGAACCAUUGUUGUGUUGUUUGGCUAUUGUGUGUGGUUAUUUUUCUUGUGUUUUGUGUCUAUCAGUUGGGUAAGAAGGCAACAUUGAACUACAUGUCCCACUGUGCUACCCAUGGGCGUGACUAGCUAACAUAAAUUUUAUCUCUAAUGAAGAACCUAUGCUUUGAUUGGUUGGAUCUCGUUAGCUUUCAACUGGCAACAGUUGUCAUUGGUAGACUUACACAUAUUUCCCUAGCAUCUGUAGGUGAUGGAAUUCAUUUCUUUCUUUCUUUCUUUAUUGAGUAUUUAGGUAUGAAUUAGGCCUCUAUAGUCUUAUCACAAUGUAGUUCCAUGCUUUGAGAUUUGUGACUCUUAAGAUUUAGUAGCAAUGUGUGUGUAAAGUUAUCAGCCAUAUAACUCAUCCUUAUCCUUUACUUGCUUCAUUUCUUAUUACAAUACAGGGCAAUUGCCUCGUGUACCUUCAACAGUUCAAGAAAUGGUACAAAACAUGUAACCUUUUAGAGCAACAUAAGUUUACAUUUUUCACAAAUAGUUAUUUAGAAAUUAUUUCCUUUGAGUUAUCAUUUGUAUAUGUGUGCUGCUUAUUAACUAUUAUUUCUGCAUGUUUAUAUGCUUGGAGAUCUGUUUCUGUUAUUCAAAAUUCUUUGUGGGGCAGCUAAAAGACUAGAAAGAUUGAAGAGAGACUAUUUGUGGGAAUGGUUCGAUGAUGUUAAUGGUUCUUACCUAGAUAAGUGGCCACUGUUACUUUGGCAAAAGAAAAGAGGUAGGGGUUAGGAAUUAGUAAUUUGGAUAACAAAAAUCAGGCUCUUUUGGCAAAAUGGUUGGAAAUUUCCUCUUGAGAAAGAUUAUCUAUGGCAAGAAGCAAUAAGAAACAAAGACUAGUUUUGAAGAAAAAAUGGCUAAUCACGAAAUAAAAAAUGGCUAUAUGCAAAUGUUAUCAAAAA
rnacentral:lncRNA from 1 species